rnacentral:snoRNA from 1 species
UCCCUCCCAAUCCCUUGCCUCUGGGAUCUAAUAUUGGUCUGAGUGCCUAAGAAAAGGAGGAAAAGGAAACUGGAAGUGGAUUUGGGUCUUCAGUGACAUACAAGUUCAUUUCAAACAGAG